rnacentral:rRNA from 1 species
GGAUUAGAUACCCUGGUAGUCCACGCCGUAAACGAUGUCUACUAGCCGUUGGGGAUUUAUUUCUUUAGUGGCGCAGCUAACGCGAUAAGUAGACCGCCUGGGGAGUACGGCCGCAAGGUUAAAACUCAAAUGAAUUGACGGGGGCCCGCACAAGCGGUGGAGCAUGUGGUUUAAUUCGAAGCAACGCGAAGAACCUUACCUACUCUUGACAUCCAGAGAACUUAGCAGAGAUGCUUUGGUGCCUUCGGGAACUCUGAGACAGGUGCUGCAUGGCUGUCGUCAGCUCGUGCCG